GUUUACUCCUACUUUUACUAAAUAAAUUUCAUGCAAAUAUUUGACUAAUGACUACAUAGGGAAAAAUCAUUAUUCUUUAAGGGUACCCAAUUAUCUUGCUGUGGCCCUCCUUUGAGAAGCAUUAUUAGUGUUCACAUAGACGAAAAGAUCUUCCGCAUCAGAGAAUAUGGGGGUCAUGUAAUUUCAGUUAUUCACCCAUUUUUGGCCAAGAUGAGCUUCAAACCAACUUAUAACCAUGUCUAGGACUCCUGCUCUCAAAUGUAAAGUUCUAUAACUAGGUUGUGAGAUUUUUCAAAUACACAUGCAGGAUAUCCAGUUGAGUUUGAAUUUCACAUAAAGAGUAAAUGAUUCCUCAAUGGAAUUAUGUCAAAUAUUUCACAGGCCGUCCUGUCACUCAAAUAAUAUUAUUUGUUGUGUAUCUGAUCUUCAAAUUUAAAAUUUGAAAUCUGGGCAUCCAAAUAUCUGUUUAGCCAGCAGUCUUGUCUAUGACAAAAUUCAGUGAUAGAAUCUGGGUCUUUAUGCUUGGUGGGUGUAUUGGGGUGAGGAGGAAGUCCUAUCUCUGAGAAGUCUGAAAUCCUAAUGAUGACACUGAAGGCAUAAACAUAGUGAGAAUGAAGUAUCCACAAGAACAUCUGAAAAUAUGUGCCUUAGAAAAUAAAGAAUACUUUGCUCUGUGGACCUGUUUUAGGUUUUCACCUUCAGGGUCCAUAAUUUGCAUUGCUAUAGGCAAUAGAACAGUCUGGGCAAAGUAAUCAAGAAAAGAAGAGUUGUAGUGUUGAGGCCUGGGUGGCCUCUCUAAUCCACCACUCAGAUCCUUUUUUUUACAAAUGAGGACAUAAACUGUG
rnacentral:lncRNA from 1 species